rnacentral:snoRNA from 1 species
ACCCUCCAGAUUCCUUACCCCUCAUCUAAGUAUUGGUCUGCGUGGUUAAAAAAGGAGGAACAUGAAACCUAAUGUGGACCUGGAGUCUUUAAUAACAGACAAGUUCAUUUCAAACAUAA